rnacentral:piRNA from 1 species
UUGCUGCUAGGUGACUCUACUGUCAAGUGC